GAAAGGUAGUGUCCACCAAUUUCAGAACCGUUUAUUCAUUUGUUUCCCAUUUUCCGCAACUUGGAAAUGGUGGUUCUGACUUCUAGUUCGCCGCCCCUUUGUGGAUGUGGGGUUUGAGAUAGUGGAUCACAUCGCGGAUGAGGAGGGGAUCACGAUGAACACAAUCCAGUCCAAGUCGCUGCUGGGAUUUGGUAACCGCGGUGUUGGAUUUCCGCAGUACACUUCAUAAUAAAGCUGGGGGGAUUGACAGUGAUGAAGGAAACAUAUGUAUUGCAAUCAUUUUGCCAUGCCGAUGUUUAUUAUAUUGGCAUAAUUGGACGCUAAUCUCAGUUGUACUCUUUAUGUAGUUGUCUAUUUCAGUUGCUGCAAUUCAUCAACUUAUACUUAGAUUCGAGCUGGAGUUAUGGUAGCUGGAGGGAUGGACCCGUAGAAAUUUCUCCAUGUACCUCUACUCAGCCAAUCAUUACGUACAAGUUUUAUUAUUCGAUUUAUGUAGAAGCUUGUUUAUUUUGUGUAAGUUUUAGCAAAAUGAACUCCAAGGUAUUAUUAUUUGGUUAGAUCGUAUAUAAU
rnacentral:lncRNA from 7 species